rnacentral:rRNA from 1 species
GUGAUCGAUCGAUGGUGCCGCAGUGCAGGAUCGAGCAAAAGGACCAGUACCGUGUCCGCGGUGUGCAGCAGUAGGAGUGCUCGAGGCCGAACCCGGUGCAGGAGGGCCGGAGGCUCGACCGGUUCGCGGAGCGGCACGUGGUGCCGAAGUGGCAGUGUCAGUAGUGAAUGCGGUCGGACAGGAGCGGGCCGGUGAGGAGUGGCGAGCGGAGGGAGGGCGGUCCGCAGAGGCAGCGGCGCGAGGGCCUCCACAGGUAGCUACUGGAGGGGCGGCUACGCGUGAACCACUGAGCGUAGGAGUGGCAGUAGUCGGCACGGAACGGUGUCGAUGCGCUGGAUGAUGCGAGGGAGGAGCUGAGGGGCCGGCCCUAGUGACGGAAGUAGUGGCUGUACGAGACGGGGCGCCGCGAGCGGCAGCCGUUCCUCUACCCAGACGGACCCAUGCAGGAGAUGUGGAGGUUGGAGUACAGCGACAAUAGCAAAGAGAUGUAGGGUCUCGAGCGGUCCUGGUGGUGAACGCUCACGGCGCUGGAGGGCCUCGGGCACGACGAGGGCCCCACGCACGGCGAUGUGCCGCGGCUAGAGGAGCUCGGGGAGGUCUUGGCGAGACUGGGGCACAUGGUCGAGUACUAGCUGGAGCCCGCGCUGAUGGAAGAGCGCCUUCCGAAGUAGCAGUUGUGGUACCUGCGCAACCUCGUGCUCUGCGACGACCGCAAGUUUCUCGAAAGACUGUUCCCGCGGAUGGGAGGCCGCAUGCGACACCCAGGUAAGUGGGCCGCCGCCAGGCGGCUGAGGCUGCUCCAGUUCGUGUCGACGAAUGCCACCGACCUGUUGGUCGGCCUGCCGAGCCAGAACAUGCACAGGAAGCCGUCGCCGCCGUGCGACAGGUGCCACGUCUGCCGGCUCGACCGCCGACCCGACCUCCGCUCGCCCGUCUCCAAGGAGACCCACCACGUGGUGGGGUUGCUGUUCCUGUCGUCGCGCCGGAUGGAGCCGUGACGGCGAUGGCUACGGCUGGGCGACUCGAUAGACGGGCUGCCCAAACAGCUCUCCUAAUUGCCAUGUCCCGAGGAACACGGUGAUACCCGCGGCGUCCACCUCUAGGAAUUGGUGCAGCGGCACCCUCCCAAGUACAGAGUACCGCCUACCUUGAGGUGCGACCUCUGGCACCGCCGCCCGCACGGCUACCACCGCACCGGCAACAUGCGACUCGUCUCCUACUUGCGCCACUAUGACAGCAGCCUAGCCCACCCGGACCGAAACACCCUCUCCGGAGGGGAGCCAUUCCUGCCUCGCCAACAGGGCGCCCUCCUCCACCGCCGCAACCAGUCUCUCGAAUACCUUCCCCUCUUCCCGCGGCGCCGUGCCUUUUUCCGGCCAGUGGAGGCCCUACUCCGACUCUAACGAAGCCGCGGCCCGCCCGGCGUCCUAGCUCGAGAGCGCCAUCACCGACCGUACUAAAGGAACGUAGUCUUCUCGGUGCCAGUAUUAACUUUACUAAUUCCUAUUACUAGUCCACUCAUUAGUCAAUAUUCGGUUGUUAAACUUGCCUCUCUUAAACUGUAGUGUUUACUGUCCCCAAAAAUCUAUCUGAAAAUAUAAUAGCUGGAUAUAUAAAGUUAUAAAAGAUACCCGGGAGUUACUUUAGUCGUUUUGGUUUUACGUCUUUAUCGUUUAGACUAAUGCGAGGUUGACUACACUAACUCGCGUUAGGAAAGCUUGAUGUAGACGUAUCUAGUUGUUACAUCAGUUUCAUAUUUCCUAUGAGGUUGAUAGGUACAUGUCAGUUUUAGAUGAUAGUGAAAUAACUUAUGAUCCAUCCUUCACGCCGAACGGCGUGGGCCGUCGUGGCGACGGCCCAUAUGUCAUUUAGUAAUAGAUACUUAUUUUAUACUUUAAAUUUAACCCAAAAUCUGCAUCUAUUGUAUAACCUAUCUUAUAUAAUUGUUUCUACUACUUGUCAAGUUUUUAUACGUAGGAGUCUUUCUCUUAAUACAAAAUAUUGUAACCACCAGUGUACUUUUAAAUAGUUUUUUAUUCGUCUUUACUAUGUAACUCGAAUAUAUUCGUAAGCUUCUGUCCGAUACGUCUGUAUUGAGUUGUACUAGCUAUAUUAUCAAGCAUCUAAGUCCAUUUCUGGCCUAUACAACAGGAAUAUCUGUGGUGGUCAUUUAUGUAUAUAAGUCCAACAUACAUCGUAGAGAUAAUAAGAAAAUGCAAACGAAACAAGGGGGACAAAAUUAGUAUUUAUCCCGUCACUUAUAUCCUUCGUAUUUAUAUCUUGUGGUUUACGUGUCUGUAUAUUGGAACAUUUUAAAUUAGGAAGAAUACUUGCUUGUACUUUUAUUACUUUCCUUUCUCUUUUAUUAUUAAGAAAUUCGUAUAGGUCGAUGUUGGGUUGUAUGGUGUACGGUGUUCCAAUAGACAUAUUUUCUUUCCGUCGAGAUGUAUGAACGACGUAUUGGCCUUUUAUACCUAUGAACGGAUUGGAUAGUAUCUCGUGUACAGCAGGAUUAAUUGUAUACUUAUAUUAUCGUUCAAUAGAUAAAAAGUCCUUAUUAUAUUUUAAAACUCAACUUUCCGCUUCUUGUGUUUUCGGUUGUUAACUUCUUCUUUUUAUUAUCUCCGAAAUCAGUAGAUAAAAUUAGGUUGGUUCGAAUUCAGGUUUAAUAAAUCUCUAUUCAAGAUAUGACUUAGUCGUGUAUUUAAUAAGGACCGGGUCUAUAUCAGUUUUAACGAUGGUGGGUCUGACGGGUUUCAGUACUAAUAUGUUUGUUGUGCGUUCCUUACUAAAUGAGUACAAUAUCAUGUACACGUUCACUUAUACAACUUAUCAGUACAAUUGUUUGGUGUUUUCAAUUUUCGACCAUUACGUGUUUAUAGUACUGAUAUUGUGGUCGUUUUUAUCAAACCAACACAGUGACGUGGUUCUGGUUUGAUUUCUCAUGACAUUACUUAUGGUUAAUCUUUGCUAGCCGAUAUAACUCUCUUUUACCCCUUACAGAUGUGUCCAGUUCGUUUAGUGUAGACUUAUUUUUAGGAGGGUCUCAAGUAUAUUUCCUACCCCUUCGAUGAAGGACUACAUGACUAUUAGUAGAUUAUGUUUAUUUGUUGCGUCUUUAUGGAGAAUGCACUUGGUAUGCUUUGUCACUCAUGGCCAUCACCUCUAAUCCCCAUCCUUUGUGCGGAACCACGCACCACGGACCGAGUUGGGUAUAAAGAUUGCGAAUUUGUUUCGUGCAUGAUUUAAUAGUGUCGUCUAGUAAGGUCCGUAAACUAAGUAAUGUUUCUUCUCCAAGGUUUUCCUUUAUUUCAGCAAACUAGGAGUAAUCCAUCCAUGUUAUCAACCGGAUAGUCUAUCGUUUUCGUUGUGAUGGAUAUACCGAAGGGAACCAAGACAACUACUAUACUGAUGCUGAAAAAUCGACUGGAGUAAUUUCGCCCUCGCUGUUGAGCGGAGAGAAUAGGAACUUACGUUUCUGUUUUUCGACUGUAGGAGGUUAUAAACUAGACAGGUGUUUUAGACCGAUUAAUCAACAAUACCAUCGGGAAGGUAGUUGAGGAGAUUAUUCUACCUGAGCGAGGAACCGUGUGGGUGUGCACUCAAAUCAAACGUACAACAGAUAGCCAACUAACUCUAUAGAGAGUUCCAUGGAGGUACACUUACCUUGGCUCUAUAUGAUGUCUGUACUUUCUGUAUUACCAAUACUAUCUUCAACUGGUACUAUUCAUUCUACGUAUCCGUCCCAGGAAUGGUAGACGACAGGUCCUCUGCACUUCCAGAAUAAGUAGAGUGUGUGUAUUGUGAACUAUCAACCUAACCAGGAUGGUUGUUUAGUGGAAUUAGUUAGUAAAAGUGUGUGUCUAUAACCCACAAACAAAAAAAACGUAUCUUCGUGGACUAAGCUUCCGACUACGUGGUAUCACAUAUGUGCCAGGACACACAGUUGUUAUUGCCAGACCAAAUUGUGAGUUUUUGUUUAACAGCUUACUGUAACGUUCCGCCAACGCAAUGGAGAAAAAUACCAGGAGGACGUUUCUGUACCGAGUCCUGUGCUGUGAGACCGAACUACCGCAGAUACCGCUGUAAAUGGACUUAUUAAAUCUGUUAGUCACACAACUUAUGUUGUAGAAGAUAUGUUUAAUCCCUGUCGCUACGAAAAAUCAUACGUACAUAUUGGAAGAAUUACACCACUAGGAACGAGGAAAGUAUUACACCGAUAAUAACAUCCAUGUAGUUUUAGUUGUCUCUCUCUACAACAUUAAUCGUAUCUGAAUGUCCUUUGUGGAAGCUAUUUUUAUUAUCUUGUAGUAUAACAAAAUAUCCGUAUGCCUGAUAGUAGUAUUAUAAGUAUCUACACGCCGUAGUUCGGUGUACACUAUCUCUAGUGAUAUAGGAAAGCUUCCAUCGUUGUUUAGUCCCUUAAGAUGAUGUAGAUUACCUUUUGGAAGUACAACUCUUACCACACAAAUGUUACCUUAUACCUGAGUUAGUUUCGUACAGCACCACUCUGUUUAACAUAAAUGUCGGUCAAAGUAUUAUAUACAACUAAUAGUGUUGUUGGUAUUGCUACACGUAUGUUUAAUCGUCGCUUUUGUUAUAUCCGUGUAUAUAAAGAAGGGUGUACUUGACUUAGUCGUUAUACUACUUAUCGUCCCUGACUUUCUGUCUUUCUCUCUGGCCACCCCUCUCCUCAUCCCACCUCAUGGUGGUGCCUACUUACCUGUUAUUUGACCUAGAUACCCAAGAAAGGGUAGUAAACAAGAUUAGGAUCUCUAUGCCUUCUUCUCUCGUGCCGCUUCGCGCCUUUUCCUGAGUGGCUCGUAUCUGCCUUUAGUCAGUUCCGCCCGAUCCCAAACAAACUACUACUCGUUUGCCCUGUUUUCUUUGUAAGUGGGACUUAUUUAUUUCAGUCUUUCAUUGUAAGUCAAUAUAUUAUGACGCCAUUCGUAGUGAUUUUAAAGUUGUUUUUCCUUUAUGUAUUUAUAUAUGUACGUAUACUUGGAUGAUAUUUGGUUCGACUACAGCCGUACCGAUAGGUAAUUGAAAUGUAGUAAGUUCUUUUGUAUAGUUAUAAUGGUCAAACUCUCUUGUCAUCAAAAUAGUCGUUACGUGAUACAUUACAAAGAUAGUAUGGUUACUGGUAUCGGUUACUGAUUUAGUGUUAAGGGG